UACGAAGGGGGCGAGCGUUGUUCGGAUUUACUGGGCGUAAAGGGCGCGCAGGCGGCUUUGUUUGUCAGGCGUGAAAGCCCCGGGCUUAACCUGGGAACUGCGUUUGAUACGGCAGGGCUAGAGUUCGGGAGAGGAGAGUGGAAUUCCCAGUGUAGAGGUGAAAUUCGUAGAUAUUGGGAAGAACACCGGUGGCGAAGGCGGCAUCCUGGACCAACACUGACACUGAGGAGCGAAAGCCAGGGGAGCAAACGGG
rnacentral:rRNA from 1 species